rnacentral:rRNA from 1 species
CGGUUUAAGCGUGUAGGCUGGUUUUCCAGGCAAAUCCGGAAAAUCAAGGCUGAGGCGUGAUGACGAGGCACUACGGUGCUGAAGCAACAAAUGCCCUGCUUCCAGGAAAAGCCUCUAAGCAUCAGGUAACAUCAAAUCGUACCCCAAACCGACACAGGUGGUCAGGUAGAGAAUACCAAGGCGCUUGAGAGAACUCGGGUGAAGGAACUAGGCAAAAUGGUGCCGUAACUUCGGGAGAAGGCACGCUGAUAUGUAGGUGAAGUCCCUCGCGGAUGGAGCUGAAAUCAGUCGAAGAUACCAGCUGGCUGCAACUGUUUAUUAAAAACACAGCACUGUGCAAACACGAAAGUGGACGUAUACGGUGUGACGCCUGCCCGGUGCCGGAAGGUUAAUUGAUGGGGUCAGCGCAAGCGAAGCUCUUGAUCGAAGCCCCGGUAAACGGCGGCCGUAACUAUAACGGUCCUAAGGUAGCGAAAUUCCUUGUCGGGUAAGUUCCGACCUGCACGAAUGGCGUAAUGAUGGCCAGGCUGUCUCCACCCGAGACUCAGUGAAAUUGAACUCGCUGUGAAGAUGCAGUGUACCCGCGGCAAGACGGAAAGACCCCGUGAACCUUUACUAUAGCUUGACACUGAACAUUGAGCCUUGAUGUGUAGGAUAGGUGGGAGGCUUUGAAGUGUGGACGCCAGUCUGCAUGGAGCCGACCUUGAAAUACCACCCUUUAAUGUUUGAUGUUCUAACGUGGACCCGUGAUCCGGGUUGCGGACAGUGUCUGGUGGGUAGUUUGACUGGGGCGGUCUCCUCCUAAAGAGUAACGGAGGAGCACGAAGGUUGGCUAAUCCUGGUCGGACAUCAGGAGGUUAGUGCAAUGGCAUAAGCCAGCUUGACUGCGAGCGUGACGGCGCGAGCAGGUGCGAAAGCAGGUCAUAGUGAUCCGGUGGUUCUGAAUGGAAGGGCCAUCGCUCAACGGAUAAAAGGUACUCCGGGGAUAACAGGCUGAUACCGCCCAAGAGUUCAUAUCGACGGCGGUGUUUGGCACCUCGAUGUCGGCUCAUCACAUCCUGGGGCUGAAGUAGGUCCCAAGGGUAUGGCUGUUCGCCAUUUAAAGUGGUACGCGAGCUGGGUUUAGAACGUCGUGAGACAGUUCGGUCCCUAUCUGCCGUGGGCGCUGGAGAACUGAGGGGGGCUGCUCCUAGUACGAGAGGACCGGAGUGGACGCAUCACUGGUGUUCGGGUUGUCAUGCCAAUGGCACUGCCCGGUAGCUAAAUGCGGAAGAGAUAAGUGCUGAAAGCAUCUAAGCACGAAACUUGCCCCGAGAUGAGUUCUCCCUGACCCUUUAAGGGUCCUGAAGGAACGUUGAAGACGACGACGUUGAUAGGCCGGGUGUGUAAGCGCAGCGAUGCGUUGAGCUAACCGGUACUAAUGAACCGUGAGGCUUAACCUU